AUCCAGCCGACGAGCCCCAAAUAGGACGAAACGCGUGUCCUGGAU
rnacentral:hammerhead_ribozyme from 1 species